UACGAAGGGGGCUAGCGUUGCUCGGAAUCACUGGGCGUAAAGGGCGCGUAGGCGGCCAUUCAAGUCGGAGGUGAAAGCCCAGGGCUCAACCCUGGAAUUGCCUUCGAUACUGUUUGGCUAGAGACCGGAAGAGGUAAGUGGAACUGCGAGUGUAGAGGUGAAAUUCGUAGAUAUGCGGAGGAACACCGAUGGCGAAGGCAAUCCCCUGGGCCUGCACUGACGCUCAUGCACGAAAGCGUGGGGAGCAAACAGG
rnacentral:rRNA from 1 species